rnacentral:rRNA from 1 species
CUACGGAGGGUGCAAGCGUUAAUCGGAAUUACUGGGCGUAAAGCGUACGUAGGCGGUUAUUUAAGUCAGAUGUGAAAGCCCCGGGCUUAACUUGGGAACUGCAUUUGAAACUGGGUAACUAGAGUUUAGUAGAGGGGAGUGGAAUUUCAGGUGUAGCGGUGAAGUGCGUAGAGAUCUGAAGGAACACCAGUGGCGAAGGCGACUCCCUGGACUAACACUGACGCUGGGGUACGAAAGCGUGGGUAGCAAACAGGAUUAGAAACCCUAGUAGUCC